rnacentral:rRNA from 1 species
GAGUUUGAUCGUGGCUCAGGACGAACGCUGGCGGCGUGCCUAAUGCAUGCAAGUCGCACGGGAGGCUUCGGCCUCCAGUGGCGCACGGCUGAGGAACACGUGGGAACAUGCCUUCUGGUGGGGGAUAACACAUCGAAAGAUGUGCUAAUCCCGCAUACGCUCGCAAGAGGAAAGUGGUAACGCGCCGGAAGAGUGGCCCGCGGCCCAUCAGGUCGUUGGUGGGGUAAUGGCCUACCAAGCCGCUGACGGGUAGCUGGUCUGAGAGGACAGACAGCCAGACUGGGACUGAGACACGGCCCAGACUCCUACGGGAGGCAGCAGCAAGGAAUUUUCGUCAAUGGGCGCAAGCCUGAACGAGCAACGCCGCGUGCGGGAUGACGGCCUUC